UGAGCAAGACUCCCACCUCCUAA
rnacentral:piRNA from 1 species